AUUGCUUCAGGACCACCAUUUUUUUUUUUGUGAAAUUACUCUCUAUAUUAAUUGAUACCAAAUUCGAUUUCUCAUAAACGAGUGGUCCGACUUCCUACACUUUAUAAAAAAAAAAAAAACACUACAAAAUAGUUUUGUGUCAUUAGGCAAUAAUAGGCACCAAACAAGAUCUUCUGAUUAUAUAUAGUUCCGCGCAAUGUUGACUUGCUUGCUUUUUCC